rnacentral:lncRNA from 1 species
ACGAGUCUGGAGGUUGAGGCCCUUGAGGAUACUCGGCAAGUCUUGUGACAGGGAAGCUUGGGCUUGGGCUUGGGCCAGCACGUCCGUUGAGUCUUGGGACUCUUGAGCUUGGAUGAUCUAAUAUCACAAAACAAUAAAAAAAGAAUCGUUAUUGGCACUUUAAAAUUCACAUUUUACACUUCUAACCUUCUAUAUUUAGUAAGAAAAAUACACUUGUGAGGAGUGUAGAAUGAGAUUUUUAAUGUGCCAACAACACUUCCCUAAAAAAAUUAUUAAAAAAACAUUAAAAGACAAAAAAAUAAUCAAGUUGAGCAUGUAAGUUUUUUGGAGUUACCUCUGGGGCCGAUGCCGGAGAAGAACGAAGGCAGGUGGAGCGGCUGUUUUGCAUGUCAUACCAGUAUCUCGAUGCCUUCUAGCGGUUAAGGUGGGAGUUUGUUGGGGACUAGGAGUCCAUUUCUUAUUUUGGAAACGGAGGAGGAUGGAGUGUCACCGGUUGGCAGUAGGGGUAGUUGAUGCAUGGUGAUCACUUUCCUAUUUGAACUGAAAGGGAUAUUGGAGUGAGGGCUUUAUAGGGGUUUACAUAAACUAUCGGGGCAACCAAUUCAGUUACAUUGGGGUCAGAGGGGGGCGUUGGGGGUGUGCAAAAGGUGCAGUGGCACAUGAUCCUGAAUUUUUGAGGGUCCCAAAAUUUAUUACUCUCCUAUAUAUUACAUGUAAGUAUAAAUUUUCUAAUUAAAAGGUUUUUAGAAAAUUAUCAUUAUAUGAUUUUAUAUGUAUUACAAUUGAUUAACUAGAGCUUAAACUUAAUAUAUUAAUUUUCUACUUUUUUCUAGCAAAAAAAUAACAUUGUGUAUUACUUUCUUUCACUUUUCUUUAGCAAUAAAAAACCGAUUUGUGUAUUAUUUUCUUUCACAAACACAAGCAUAUUUUCAUAUCUCUCUUUCAGUUGUGUUCCAUUUUUUAUGGGCGAACCCGAAAUCAUAAGUUCAUGGCAAUUGAACAUUUUUCAAUUAGUAAGAGUGAAAUGUUGAUUUUUAUUAAAUUCGCACAGAGCCCCUAAAAUGUUAGAGACGGCCUUGAUUGGCGCCAAUUUCUGUUACUUGGAGGCCUAUUUGGUUCUGUUAGUUGAAGAUCUGUUUGGUUAGUGGAUUAGUGGGAGAGCCCGUGUUUGAUUACUGCUCCACCUGCAAUGUUUACUAUUGAUCAUAUGCUCCUAACCCCAAGUGAAAAUGCUCUUAGUGACCUGCUCAACGAUAGGACUUCAUUCACCAACUUAUGCCAGUUUGCCAAUUUUGUUGAGUUUCGAAUCAUUCCUCCCGACUUUGACACGAAAAACGAAAUUUAAAUCAACAAACUGUGGCAGCAAAUGGCUGCCGGGACCAAAAAUAAAAACAUUGGGAACCAAGCAGAUACAAAUGAGAGAGGGUACUUUUAACAUAGAAAAUGAGUCGAAAAUCCACCAGGGCACCUACCGACUUCACAAUCAUUGACAGGGUACUUUCAUUAUGGGUUUGAUGAUACAUGAGAUUGUGUAAAACAGUCGGAAACUUAGAGGUAGCACUUGCUUGUGUUGGUUUGAAUUUCGAAACUCCAAUCUAUCUCAGCAUGAGAAAGAUUACAACUUUCAAAUACCCUCACAAAAGACAUUGCUAGCCACAAAAAUAUAGGAUUAAUUGGAAGAAAAGAACACAAUUCAAAAGCAAUCAAGGAUAUAAGCAAAAGCAAUGAAUAAGCAUUUCCACAAGAACACAAAUGCUUCAAUUCUCUUCAGUAAAUUAAUAAUCCACAUCUGGCUAGGAUGGUUAAAUUCUAGUGUUAGAAAACGUACAGAGAGAUUCUCCUGUCUACUACGAUUGUUCAUUAUGGAUGCAAAUUUCCGCCUUCUUCUUCUUAGACAAAAUUGCACCUACAAAACAAUUAACACCUUAGAUCAAGGCCAAGAUCCUCACGCGCCCACAAUGAAUGGGGGGGCUUUAACCGAAAAACCUCUGAUGCCAAAGUUAGAAUUUAGAGAGAAAGAGUGUUUAGAGAAUUUUGGGAUUUUUGCCAAAGUGUUGGAAUUGGCUUUUUGGUGAGAAUGAGAGUAUAUUUAUAGGGAUAAGAGGUGGCUAGGGUUUUUUGGGUUUAAUUUAGAUUUAAUUAGGAGUUACAAAAUAAUUAGCCAAUAACUCCCUAAUUAACUUGGCUAAUUAUUUGUCAUACAAAGGAAAAAAGGUAGAAGGAAAGGCUGAUUUCUUUUGGGGAUGAAAGUUAACCAGCCUUUUUGUGGGAGUUAGGGUAAAGUGAAUGGUCUAAAUGCUAAUUAAGGGAAUAAUUAGCUAAUUAACCCAUUAAUUAGCUAUUUAUCAUUAUUUUAGAAUGAAUGUUUUAGGAAUUAUGGAAUAAGUAUAGUAUUUAGCUAAUUGAUUAGCUAAAUAAUGAAAUAGGAAAUAUAUGAAUAAAUUAGGUUUUAAGUUGAUACCUAUUUUGGGCACUUUUGACUUGGUUGAGGGAUAAUUGCCCGCUGCUUGCGCGUAGGAAUCCUGGUAUGCCCCAAGGGUAGUUUUGUCUUCUUAUGUCAAAAAUCCACGUGUCGCCUUAUGAAUAUUUUUAGCUCCACAAAUGCCCCCACACAUGUUGGGCUGCUCGUAAAAAAGGGCAGCAGGUGUAGAGAUCUUCUUGCUUUAGGAAACUUAGGACUGCUUCCUAUUUUGAUGUAGAUUUUCUCUUUAAUAGGAAAUUAGAUCCUUCUAGGAAAGGGAAAUAAAUUUCUCUCAAAGCCUAUUUAAGUCCACCUUAAGUGGGUUAUUAAAUCAACUUUGGAGAGCGAUUUAUUCUCCCUACAAGAGAGAGAUAGCUUAGAGGAUAUUUGUUCCCCCUCCUCUAGCAAUUUUCUACAUCUUGCCCGUGCAAAGGACCGUCUUUCGUUGCUUUCUUCGUCUUUUUCGUGCCGCACUGAGGUAAGAAAAAAUUAAUUUUCCUUAUCUUCUUCUUGGAUGGUGCUACCUCGGGGCAGCCGUCGGGGUGGUGCGGCAUGUCGGCUCGGCAUAGGCCGAGGAGGUAUUGUGGCAAGGACCACUGCUUUAAGCUGCUCGACUUGGCUAGAACCAAGGGCAGCUUGUUUGGCUGGGGCCACGGAUUGUGACGCUGUGGCGCAGUGCUAGGCAAGUCACAUGGCUCAUGUCCUUUUGGGCUUUUGGACAUGACGCGAGCUAGGCAAGUGAUUGAAAGAAAUGAAGAGGUUGCGAGCCUCAUGAGCUACUGGAAUGUUGGGUUGAACUCACCUGCUAGGUACCACGAAUGGCUUUGGCUACUUUAACUCUCUUCGUCAGGAGAAACGUGGGCUGUUUCCAAAAUAAGAGGUGAAUAGGAUCAAGGCGGAUGCAUUGGCUUGUCCAAUCACCGUUGUGGAUCCUGCUGCAAGUGAAGGUGGGAAAAGGGAUCUUCCCUGCCUGCUCAAGAGAUGCCGGCUGAGAAAAAACCAAAGACUUCUUUCGCUGCUUAUGCAAAGGAUGAAAAGUUAAGUGCUGCUUAUAAUCAGGUGAUCCACUUCAAGAGAAUCAUCGAUAGGCUUAAACCCCAAGUGUUGGAACUUCAAGGUGUACUGAAGAUCAACGAAAGUUUGAAGAAAGAAGUGGAUGAGAUGCAGCGCGUCCAUGUUGGUAUUGGUGAAGUAGUUGGAGAAGUUGGUGCCCAGGCUGGAGCAGUCGAGGGUGAUGCCGCUGCUAAGAGCUUUGCGGCUACUGAAGGUGUGGCGACCGAAUAGUCGUGGGAUGUCCAGGCUGCUAAAGUGUAGUCAUCUAGGUAACCUUUAAGAUUUUCUUUGUUUUUCCUUAUAGCUCUUGUUUUGCUUGAACUCAUUCGGCCUUUGCUAGUUGUUUAUAAACAUGUUUUCCUUAGCUUUUCUUCAUUUUUGCUUCUUUUGUUCAUGCCCUAACCUUUAGACUUGAUAGACCAGUGGCAAGUAUGCUACUUUUUUAUAAGCAAACAAGCUCGCGUAGCCUAUGCAGCCGUAGGUGUUAGUGUAGAACUUUGCAAAGUUGUUAGCCAUUGGGUUGGCAGCCGGAUGCCUUACUUACAGAAGCAGAAAAGUCUGCGUAACCACUAGGUUGUUAACCUUGACUUUCUCCAAUUCCGUAGGUUGCGUAGCAAGUAUCAUAACACUUUAGGACUUGGUGUAGGUUGUUCCGCGCUUGGCAGAUGUGAACCUUAUCGACUACGUAGCAUGUCGACAGUGGAUAAAACUUCGUAUAUGUGUGCUAGCUUGUUUAACCUUUCACAAGAAUGUGCAGUUGUAUAAGUCUAGUGUGGCUUUACUGCUCGAAGGGCAAGCCGUAGGCAGUUUUCCGGAAUCCGUAGGCUACCUUAGUGCACUCGGUAGCAGCUUUAGGAUUCCUGGACAGCCGUCCAUCGGAUGUACUGCGUAAUGUGCCCUCUCUGUCUCUAGGGCCCGGUUCCCCACGGAUUAGGCCAAGAGACCAAAAAUCCUUUAGUUAGCUAAGCCUUGAAAAAGACUAUUGCGGCUACUUCUAGGAAUCCCAGCGCAAGCCAUCGUGCAUCUAGUUAUACUAGGGCAACCCAGCUCAUCCACGUCUGGAUAUUCGGAGUGUAGAGUUUAUCCUCCCGUUCUUAGAGAGCUGACCCAUGUAGGCGUUGGGGAAUUGGUUUACCCUCUCGCGUUGGAGAGCAAUUAGUUUACCCUCUCGCACUAGAGAGCAUGGUUGGUUCCUCGGAGGGGCGCAAUUCCUGCGGUAAGUCCCUAAGAAUGGCGCAGUCUUCUUUUGAAGUGCAGAAGUGAUCAGUUGUUAUAAGCAUGCAGCCAAGCCAAGUCGUGAUUACUUCUGAAUUCCUCAUUGAAAAACGAGUUAAACGAAUGAGAACUUAGAUGUAAGGUAAGAAUUACAUAACAACUAGAUAAUCCUCGGUUGGUGAGGUAGUGCCCGUCAAGCUGCUUGAGUCUUCAGGCUUUGAUGUAGCGAGAGGUCACACAUGGUACUUCCUCAGAUUGUAGGCGUUUCACUAUUUUUUGAUCUUUUUGUCGUUUUAUGGUGGUGAGGGUGUAAUUGUUCUUGCCACCUACUAUACUGAUCUUGUACGGACUUUCCCAUAUAGGAUCCAUAUUUUUGGAGCCUUUUCUGCUGGCAGUGAUGAAGGUUUUUCUUAUGACCAGAUCUCCGGGCUGGAACUGCCGGAUCUUGGUCCUUUUGUUGUAGCUGGAGAGGAGCUGAUGCUGGUAAGCUGCGAUGCGAGUGAUAGUCUAUUCGUGCCUCUCUUCUGCUAGAUCUAAGCUUGUGGCCAUCUCCUUUCGGUUGCUCAUCUUUUGGUUGUGCGAUAUGCCCAUAGACAUCCUUGGAGUUCGUCUGGCCAUUUUCUUUUCUUAUUGGUGGGGGAUUUCUUGUGGCAGUCGACGAUCAUCUUAGUGGAUGCUUUGGCCCGCCUAUUACCUUGAAGAUAUCUUGGCGUAGACAUGUGCUGCUUGAUGCCAUAUUUUUGGAAGAACUUCGCCAAAUCUUUACCUACGAAUUACGGGCCGUUGUCGGUGACGAUAGAUUAAGGAAUGCCAAAUCGAAAAAUGAUACUCCUUCAUAUGAAACGCUCUAUGUCCAUCUGAACCAUGAUCAUCAUGGGCUCUGCUUCUACUUAUUUGGUGAAGUAAUCGGUUGUCACGAUCAUCAUGCCUUUGCCCCUAGUAGUCUGGCUGGUGAUUAGCUAGGACUCGGAAUGAAUUGAAAGCUUUUUCGCCACCAAGUCUUUUGUCAUUCGAAGGCCUGCUAGUGGGGUUUCGUACUCUGCUUCGUUGUUAGAUGCUUUGAAGCUUAGAGUGAUCGCCUGCUUGAGCAUUGAAACGUUUGAGGUGGCAAGAACCACGGCUGCUCACGAGCCUUCGUAGUUGGAUGCGCCGUCGACAUGCAAACGCCAGAAAUCUCCAUUGAGGGAGCAGGUGUGGCUAAAGUGUGCUCGGCUGCCUUAGGGACGUCGUUGGGCCGAGUUGUUGCGUUCGUCAGAAAACUUUGCAUCUGCCAGGGUCUACGCUUUUAUCGUCGCCAAUUUGGAUUCAGGGAAUAGUGCGUCAUGAUGAUGACUGCGUGCAUUUGAAGGUAAAACUUAAGCUUUUGGGUUACAACAAUUAUCGCCAAAGUUAGCUUUUGAAUUUUUAAUAGCAUCGAGAAGAGCUUUUGAACUGUAGAAUACAGGUAGUCGUGCCCCCAGCUCUUCUCACAUGAUGGUAGAGCUCAUUGGUACUUUAGAUACCGUCAAACAUACGAAUAAGUCUUCCGUUGCUUCUAGAAAGGUGAUGUCGGGUACUUCUUCAAGUCCUUAAAUGUGCAUUAGCGAGCCUCAUCCCAAAGUGCAUGCUUCUCUGCCAAAGCAAAAGAGUCUGCCAGAGUUAGAUCUUCUUUCAUGAUCAAUUUUCCGAAUAGCGGGUGGCCUGCUGGAAGUCCUUUUUGGAAGGCUGUUCUAGCUAUCGAGUCGUUGCAUUCGACUAUUUUUGCCUUCUCUACUUUGAACCUCCACACAUAGUCGCCAAGCGACUCCUUUAGGUUCUUCUUGACGUCGAACAAAUGGUCAAACUUCUUUUUAAUCGAGCAAUAUGAUGAAUAUUCUUUGGUGAAAACCAAAGAAAGUUCGUAGAAAUUCCGGAUGGAUUGUGGCGGCAGGGUGUAGAACCAAUCUUGCGCCUCGCCUUGUACAGUGGUGGCGAAUAUCUUGCACAUGAGAUCAUCGUUGUUUCGAUAAAGGAUCAUUGCGCUUCGAUAGCGCUUUAAGUGUCUAUCCGGGUCUUCAUCCCCUUUGAAAGAUGUGAAAUGUGGCAUGCUAAACUCGCGUAGAGGCUCUGCCUGCUCGAUCUCGUCUGUGAAUGAUGACCUGCUUAUGUUGGUCAUGUUCCGUCGUAGUGCCUCGUCGGUGACCUGGUUACGUUGGAAAUCAUGCAAUCGCUUGGUCAAAAGUCUCUAUACUUCUUCCUGAAUUUACCUUUGUUGGGGUAGCAGAGCUCUCGGCUGCCCCCAGCCAUGACUUGCUUGUCUAGGCUGCUCUUCCAUGUGUUUGGCUAGUCUAUGCCGCGGAUACAGUGCAUGUGGUGCGUUCCUAGCAGGCGAGCGAGUUCUUCGCAGGCUGCUGGUUGAACUUGAGCUGGAUUGAGUGACUGCUUCUCUCCGUCCGUCAUGCUGCCUACUUUGAUAUGAAGUGGAUGAUGCUCCUUGUGGGCUUAGCUACGAAUGGACACUUUGCCCGGAAUGUUGCUCAUGUUGACUAUCGGAGUAUGACCCCAACCGUGAAUGUAUGCUCAUCUGUGGGCCUAGUCGAGAGUGCAUGCUCCUCCGCGCGCUAAGACGGGAAUGUACACUGCCCAAACGUUCAACUUGUAGCUGGUCGAGUGGCUGCUUGCCGAGACGCUGCUGGAAAGGUUCGUCUGCCCUUAUCCUACUUCGGGAUACCUCGUCUGGGGCACAUUGGAUCCCGAUGCGUUGCAAAAGUUGAUUCACCAAGGUUGUCUGUUGUGCAAGGGCGCUCGUCAACUCUAUGACUUGUCGAGACAAGUGUUGUUCGCCAUUUGGAUUAGAAGAGCUUGGAAGGAAUGCGCCUCAUUUGGCAGUAGAAUAGUGGUAGACUCCGGGCGCUAGAUUUGAGUUGGGAAAUGUUAAAUCCACGAAAAAUGUGGUGAGAAGGCCCCCGGCUCGAUGGUAGGUCCAGAUGGUUGAGAUAAUCUUGGGCCGACUUGGGCUGCUUGGAAAGCCACAGGAUCAGGCUGGGCCACGAGAGCAGGCUGGGCCGUGAGAGUGGGCUACUCGACUGAAGCUGGCUGGGCCACGGGAGUGGGCUGCUCGUAGGGAGCAGGCUGGGUCACGAGAGCAGGCUCCUCGGCAGGAGCAGGUUGGGCCAUGAGAGUGGGCUGCUCGACGGGAGCAGGCUGGGCCACGAGAGUGGGCUGCUCGACGAAAGCAGGCUGGACCACGGGAAUGGGCUGCUCGUCGGGAGCAGGCUGGGUCACGAGAGUAGGCUGCUUGGCAGGAACAGGCUGGGCCGCGAGAGCAGGUUGCUUGGUGAGGCUUGGGUCACGAGAGUGGGCUGCUCGACGGAAGCAGGCUGCUUAGUAUGUGAUGCAUGCGAAUGCGAGGCUUGGGCCUGGGCCCGUGCAAACUUAGAUGGCACGACUUGGGCCGUGGCCUUGGUGCCGUGAGCCUUGGAUGGCAUGGCUCGAGCCGUGGUGAAGGCACCAUGGACCUCGCCACGGGUGGCUACCGAGGUAGCCACCGUGGUGGUUCCCAUGGUGGAAACUCGUGGUGGUGGUGCUGCUCCAUUUAUUGUCGCAUUUAGCCUCACGGAUCUCCGUAAUCCCAUUUCUUGAACAUUAGAAUUUUCACUUGUGGAAUUUUCUAAAUUUCUAGCCAUUAUAUUUUGCUUAUACGUUUUAUCAAAAAACCUUUGCAAAUAAAAAAUUCUAAUAAUAAGAACGUAUGAAAAAUAUUCAAAUGGACUAGAAAAUAAAGAAAAAACCUUUUUGUGCGAGAGUCUUCUACGAGUAUGGAUUUCAACUCUCAAUGAAAGCACCAAUUUUGUGAUGCAAAUUUCCGCCUCUUCUUCUUGGACAAAUUGCACCUACAAAAACAAUUAACACCUUAGGUCAAGGCCAAAAGCCUCACGCGCCCACAAUGAAUGGGGGAGCUUUAGCCGAAGAACCUCCGAUGCCAAAGUUAGAAUUUAGAGAGAAAGAGUGUUUAGAGAAUUUUGAAGAUUUUUGCCAAAAGUGUUGGAAUUGGCUUUUUGGUGAGAAUGAGAGUAUAUUUUAGGGAUAAGAGUGGCUAGGGUUUUUGGGUUUAAUUAGAUUUUAAUUAGGAGUUACAAAAUAAUUAGCCAAUAACUCCUAAUUAACUUGGCUAAUUAUUUGUCAUACAAAGGAAAAAAGGUAGAAGGAAAAGCUGAUUUCUUUUGGGGAUGAAAGUUAACCGGCCUUUUUGUGGGAGUUAAGGUAAAGUGAAUGGUCUAAAUGCUAAUU